rnacentral:rRNA from 1 species
UUAUUUAAUGGCCGCGGUAUUUUGACCGUGCAAAGGUAGCAUAAUCAUUAGUUUAUUAAUUGUGGACUUGUAUGAAUGGUUGGACGAGAUAUUGACUGUCUCAUGUUUAUUUAUUGAAUUUAAUUUUUUAGUCAAAAAGCUUAAAUUUUAUUGUAAGACGAGAAGACCCUAUAGAUCUUUAUUUUUAUUUAUAAUUUAUUUUUUAGUUUCUUUUUUUAAGUUUUUAUUAAAUUUUUUGUUGGGGCGACAUGGAGAUAUAAUUAACUCUUUAUUUUAUAUACAAUUAUUUUUGAUUUUUUGACCUUUUAUUAUUGUUUAAAGAUAUAGAUACCUUAGGGAUAACAGCGUAAUUUUUUUUGAGAGUUCUUAUCAACAAUAAAGAUUGCGACCUCGAUGUUGGAUUAAGAAUAUUUUAAGGUGUAGGUGCUUUAUAAAUUAGGUCUGUUCGACCUUUAAAUUCUUACAUGAUCUGAGUUCA